rnacentral:rRNA from 1 species
GGAGGGUGCAAGCGUUGUUCGGAGUUAUUGGGCGUAAAGAGCGUGUAGGCGGUCCGGUAAGUCAGAUGUGAAAGCCCUGGGCUCAACCCAGGAAGUGCAUUUGAAACUACCAGACUUGAGUACGGGAGAGGAGGGGGGAAUUCCCGGUGUAGAGGUGAAAUUCGUAGAUAUCGGGAGGAAUACCAGUGGCGAAGGCGCCCCUCUGGACCGAUACUGACGCUGAGACGCGAAAGCGUGGGGAGCAAACAGGAUUAGAUACCCUGGGUAGUCCACGCCGUAAACGAUGAGCACUAGGUGUAGCGGGUAUUGACCCCCCUGCUGUGCCGUAGCUAACGCAUUAAGUGCUCCGCCUGGGGGACUACGGUCGCAAGACUA